AGUGAACGCUGGCGGUAGGCCUAACACAUGCCAGUCGAACGGCAGCACAGUAAGAGCUUGCUCUUACGGGUGGCGAGUGGCGGACGGGUGAGGAAUACAUCGGAAUCUACUUUUUCGUGGGGGAUAACGUAGGGAAACUUACGCUAAUACCGCAUACGACCUACGGGUGAAAGCAGGGGAUCUUCGGACCUUGCGCGAUUGAAUGAGCCGAUGUCGGAUUAGCUAGUUGGCGGGGUAAAGGCCCACCAAGGGGACGAUCCGUAGCUGGUCUGAGAGGAUGAUCAGCCAACCUGGAACUGAGACACGGUCCAGACUCCUACGGGAGGUAGCAGUGGGGAAUAUUGGACAAUGGGCGCAAGCCUGAUCCAGCCAUACCGCGUGGGUGAAGAAGGCCUUCGGGUUGUAAAGCCCUUUUGUUGGGAAAGAAAAGCAGCAGGUUAAUACCCCGCUGUUCUGACGGUGCCCAAAGAAUAAGCACCGGCUAACUUCGUG
rnacentral:rRNA from 1 species